rnacentral:rRNA from 1 species
GACGAACGCUGGCGGCGUGCUUAACACAUGCAAGUCGAACGGAAAGGCCCGCAUCAUUUUUGUGGUGGGGGUGCUCGAGUGGCGAACGGGUGAGUAACACGUGGGUGAUCUGCCCUGUACUUCGGGAUAAGCUUGGGAAACUGGGUCUAAUACCGGAUAGGACCAUGGUUUAGUGUCUCAUGGUGGAAAGAUUAUUGUUUUGGUGCAGGAUGAGCUCGCGGCCUAUCAGCUUGUUGGUGGGGUAAUGGCCUACCAAGGCGUCGACGGGUAGCCGGCCUGAGAGGGUGGACGGCCACAUUGGGACUGAGAUACGGCCCAGACUCCUACGGGAGGCAGCAGUGGGGAAUAUUGCACAAUGGGCGCAAGCCUGAUGCAGCGACGCCGCGUGGGGGAUGACGGCCUUCGGGUUGUAAACUCCUUUCGUUAGGGACGAAGCCACAUUUUUUGGGUGUGGUGACGGUACCUUUGUUAAGAAGCACCGGCUAACUACGUGCCAGCAGCCGCGGUAAUACGUAGGGUGCGAGCGUUGUCCGGAAUUACUGGGCGUAAAGAGCUCGUAGGUGGUUUGUUGCGUCGUCUGUGAAAUUCCGGGGCUUAACUUCGGGGUGGCAGGCGAUACGGGCAUAACUAGAGUGCUGUAGGGGAGACUGGAAUUCCUGGUGUAGCGGUGGAAUGCGCAGAUAUCAGGAGGAACACCGAUGGCGAAGGCAGGUCUCUGGGCAGUAACUGACGCUGAGGAGCGAAAGCAUGGGGAGCGAACAGGAUUAGAUACCCUGGUAGUCCAUGCUGUAAACGGUGGGCGUUAGGUGUGGGGACCGGUUUGGUUUCUGUGCCGUAGCUAACGCAUUAAGCGCCCCGCCUGGGGAGUACGGCCGCAAGGCUAAAACUCAAAGGAAUUGACGGGGGCCCGCACAAGCGGCGGAGCAUGUGGAUUAAUUCGAUGCAACGCGAAGAACCUUACCUGGGUUUGACAUGCACCAGACGGUUGUAGAGAUACGUACCUCCCUUUGUGGUUGGUGUGCAGGUGGUGCAUGGUUGUCGUCAGCUCGUGUCGUGAGAUGUUGGGUUAAGUCCCGCAACGAGCGCAACCCUUGUCUUAUGUUGCCAGCACUUUGGGUGGGGACUCAUGAGAGACUGCCGGGGUUAACUCGGAGGAAGGUGGGGAUGACGUCAAAUCAUCAUGCCCUUUAUGCCCAGGGCUUCACACAUGCUACAAUGGUUAGUACAACACGCUGCGAACCUGUGAGGGUGAGCGAAUCGCUGAAAGCUAAUCUCAGUUCGGAUUGGGGUCUGCAACUCGACCCCAUGAAGUCGGAGUCGCUAGUAAUCGCAGAUCAGCAAUGCUGCGGUGAAUACGUUCCCGGGCCU